GAUGAACGCUAGCGGCAGGCCUAACACAUGCAAGUCGAGGGGCAGCACAUAAAGUGGUUUACUACUUUUGGUGGCGACCGGCGGACGGGUGCGUAACGCGUAUGCAACCUGCCUCCAACAGGGGGAUAACGGAGAGAAAUUUCCACUAAUACCCCAUAAUAUCAGAAUCGGCAUCGGUUUUGGUUGAAAACUCCGGUGGUUGGAGAUGGGCAUGCGUUGGAUUAGAUAGUUGGUUAGGUAACGGCUCACCAAGUCAACGAUACAUAGGGGGACUGCGAGGUUAGCACCCCACACUGGUACUGAGACACGGACCAGACUCCUACGGGAGGCAGCAGUGAGGAAUAUUGGUCAAUGGGGGCAACCCUGAACCAGCCAUGCCGCGUGCAGGAAGACGGCUCUAUGAGUUGUAAACUGCUUUUACAAGGGGAUAAAUCGGUGUACGUGUACACCGUUGAAGGUACCUUGGGAAUAAGGAUCGGCUAACUCCGUGCCAGCCGCCGCGGUAA
rnacentral:rRNA from 1 species